GUGAGGAAUAUUGGUCAAUGGGCGAGAGCCUGAACCAGCCAAGUAGCGUGAAGGAUGACUGCCCUAUGGGUUGUAAACUUCUUUUAUAAAGGAAUAAAGUCGGGUAUGCAUACCCGUUUGCAUGUACUUUAUGAAUAAGGAUCGGCUAACUCCGUGCCAGCAGCCGCGGUAAUACGGAGGAUCCGAGCGUUAUCCGGAUUUAUUGGGUUUAAAGGGUGCGUAGGCGGCCUUUUAAGUCAGCGGUGAAAGUCUGUGGCUCAACCAUAGAAUUGCCGUUGAAACUGGGGGGCUUGAGUAUGUUUGAGGCAGGCGGAAUGCGUGGUGUAGCGGUGAAAUGCUUAGAUAUCACGAAGAACUCCGAUUGCGAAGGCAGCCUGCUAAGCUGCAACUGACAUUGAGGCUCGAAAGUGUGGGUAUCAAACAGGAUUAGAAACCCGAGUAGUCC
rnacentral:rRNA from 1 species